UGGGGAAUCUUGGACAAUGGGGGAAACCCUGAUCCAGCCAUGCCGCGUGGGUGAUGAAGGCCUUAGGGUUGUAAAGCCCUUUCGGCGGGGACGAUGAUGACGGUACCCGCAGAAGAAGCCCCGGCUAACUCCGUGCCAGCAGCCGCGGUAAUACGGAGGGGGCAAGCGUUGUUCGGAAUUACUGGGCGUAAAGGGCGCGUAGGCGGCCGGUUGCGUCGGAUGUGAAAGCCCUGGGCUCAACCCGGGAAUGGCAUUCGAUACGGGCUGGCUUGAAGUCGGAAGAGGAGAGUGGAAUUCCCAGUGUAGAGGUGAAAUUCGUAGAUAUUGGGAAGAACACCGAUGGCGAAGGCAGCUCUCUGGUCCGACCUUGACGCUGAGGCGCGACAGCGUGGGGAGCAAACAGG
rnacentral:rRNA from 1 species